GCCAGCCCGCUCAGAAACUUAAGGAAUUGACGGGGCCCGCACAAGCGGUGGAGUAUGUGGUUUAAUCGAUGCAACGCGAAGAACCUUACCUGGUCUUGACAUCCCGGAGACCCUUAGGAAACUAGGGGGUGCUUCCAUCUGGAAGAAUCUGGAGACAGGUGCUGCAUGGCUGUCGUCAGCUCGUGUCGUGAGAUGUUGGGUUAAGUCCCGCAACGAGCGCAACCCUUGCCUUUAGUUGCCAGCAGUUCGGCUGGGCACUCUAAAGGGACUGCCGGUGUUAAACCGGAGGAAGGUGGGGAUGACGUCAAGUCCUCAUGGCCUUUAUGACCAGGGCUACACACGUACUACAAUGGCCGAUACAAAGGGCAGCGACACUGCGAGGUGAAGCCAAUCCCGUAAAAUCGGUCUCAGUCCGGAUUGGAGUCUGCAACUCGACUCCAUGAAGUUGGAAUCGCUAGUAAUCGUGGAUCAGCAUGCCACGGUGAAUACGUUCCCGGGCCUU
rnacentral:rRNA from 1 species